rnacentral:rRNA from 1 species
GAUGAACGCUGGCGGCGUGCUUAACACAUGCAAGUCGAACGGAAAGGCCCAAGCUUGCUUGGGUACUCGAGUGGCGAACGGGUGAGUAACACGUGGGUGAUCUGCCCUGCACUUCGGGAUAAGCCUGGGAAACUGGGUCUAAUACCGGAUAGGACGAUGGUUUGGAUGCCAUUGUGGAAAGUUUUUUCGGUGUGGGAUGAGCUCGCGGCCUAUCAGCUUGUUGGUGGGGUAAUGGCCUACCAAGGCGUCGACGGGUAGCCGGCCUGAGAGGGUGUACGGCCACAGUGGGACUGAGAUACGGCCCAGACUACUACGGGAGGCAGCAGUGGGGAAUAUUGCACAAUGGGCGCAAGCCUGAUGCAGCGACGCCGCGUGGGGGAUGACGGCCUUCGGGUUGUAAACUCCUUUCGCUAGGGACGAAGCGUUUUUGUGACGGUACCUGGAGAAGAAGCACCGGCUAACUACGUG